rnacentral:rRNA from 1 species
AUUGAACGCUGGCGGCAGGCCUAACACAUGCAAGUCGAGCGGAUGAAGGGAGCUUGCUCCUGGAUUCAGCGGCGGACGGGUGAGUAAUGCCUAGGAAUCUGCCUGGUAGUGGGGGAUAACGUCCGGAAACGGGCGCUAAUACCGCAUACGUCCUGAGGGAGAAAGUGGGGGAUCUUCGGACCUCACGCUAUCAGAUGAGCCUAGGUCGGAUUAGCUAGUUGGUGGGGUAAAGGCCUACCAAGGCGACGAUCCGUAACUGGUCUGAGAGGAUGAUCAGUCACACUGGAACUGAGACACGGUCCAGACUCCUACGGGAGGCAGCAGUGGGGAAUAUUGGACAAUGGGCGAAAGCCUGAUCCAGCCAUGCCACGUGUGUGAAGAAGGUCUUCGGAUUGUAAAGCACUUUAAGUUGGGAGGAAGGGCAGUAAGUUAAUACCUUGCUGUUUUGACGUUACCAACAGAAUAAGCACCAGCUAACUUCGUG